GAGCUGGCUGCGCCCUCCGCUGCAAGCGCCGGCAGCGCGGGGCGAGCUCCGGACGGCGCGCGGCCCAGGCAGCGGCUCCCGCUCGGCCCGCCCUCCGAGUCGCAGGGGCCGCCACCGCCGCGGAGCUUCCCCUGGCGACCGCGCCCCCGGGCCCUGGCGACCGAUCCCCCGGGCCCCGGCUCCGGCCCGGGACGGAGCGGCCGGCGCUCGACACAGAGAGCUCUUCAGAACCCAGGCUGCUUUCAGGAACAUUACUGUGGAUUCCCAGCUUUCAGACAACACAUGACUAAAACAGAAUGAGACCACUCUAGAUGCCUCAUGGGAAACUCAGGAAAAGACUACAAAAACAAC
rnacentral:sRNA from 1 species